UACGUAGGGUGCGAGCGUUGUCCGGAAUUAUUGGGCGUAAAGAGCUUGUAGGCGGUUUGUCGCGUCUGCCGUGAAAGCCCAGGGCUUAACCCUGGGUCUGCGGUGGGUACGGGCAGACUAGAGUGUGGUAGGGGAGACUGGAAUUCCUGGUGUAGCGGUGGAAUGCGCAGAUAUCAGGAGGAACACCGAUGGCGAAGGCAGAUCUCUGGGCCGUAACUGACGCUGAGGAGCGAAAGCAUGGGGAGCGAACAGG
rnacentral:rRNA from 1 species